CUUAAAGAUGUUUCUACAACAGGUUUCAGAUUUGAUCUAAUCAAGUCCAAAUCUAUGGGUUUACAAGAUUGUGUCGGUUCUUCUAUCGAUGUAGUGUUUUACUUACAUACUUACUCAGAACUUUAUUUAAAAUAUAACAAGUCAACUCAAAUGCAUAUCUCUAAAAGGAGAUCGAUAGACUUGCAAAGCCCAUCAUGGACCGAACCAUGUCUAAGAAGAUU
rnacentral:lncRNA from 1 species